rnacentral:rRNA from 1 species
AAUCUUCCACAAUGGACGAAAGUCUGAUGGAGCAACGCCGCGUGAGUGAAGAAGGUUUUCGGUUCGUAAAACUCUGUUGUAAGGGAAGAACAAGUACAGUAGUAACUGGCCGUACCUUGACGGUACCUUAUCAGAAAUCCACGGCUAACUACGUACCAGCAGCCGCGGUAAUACGUAGGUGGCAAGCGUUGUCCGGAAUUAUUGGGCGUAAAGCGCGCGCAGGCGGUCCUUUAAGUCUGAUGGGAAAGCCCACGGCUCAACCGUGGAGGGUCAUUGGAAACUGGAGGACUUGAGUACAGAAGAGGAAAGCGGAAUUCCACGUGUAGCGGUGAAAUGCGUAGAGAUGUGGAGGAACACCAGUGGCGAAGGCGGCUUUCUGGUCUGUAACUGACGCUGAGGCGCGAAAGCGUGGGGAGCAAACAG